UACGAGGGGGGCGAGCGUUGUUCGGAAUUAUUGGGCGUAAAGAGCUCGUAGGCGGCCUGUUGCGUCCGCUGUGAAAGCCCGGGGCUUAACCCCGGGUCGGCAGUGGAUACGGGCAGGCUAGAGGUAGGUAGGGGAGAAUGGAAUUCCCGGUGUAGCGGUGAAAUGCGCAGAUAUCGGGAGGAACACCCGUGGCGAAGGCGGCUCUCUGGGACGGUACUGACGCUGAGACGCGAAAGCGUGGGGAGCGAACAGG
rnacentral:rRNA from 1 species